rnacentral:rRNA from 1 species
UACAGGGGGCUCGAGCGUUAAUCGGAAUCACUGGGCUUAAAGGGUGCGUAGGCGGACCAGUAAGCGUCCCGUGAAAUCCCCCGGCUCAACCGGGGAACUGCGGGGCGAACUGCUGGUCUAGAGGAAGCUAGAGGCGGGUAGAACGAUAGGUGGAGCGGUGGAAUGCGUAGAUAUCUGGAGGAACACCGGUGGCGAAGGCGGUUCUCUGGGCAUGAUCUGACGCUGAGGAGCGAAAGUGUGGGGAGCGAACAGG